AAAAAGAAGAAGACCAGUCUGCGUUACACCAUUGACUGCACUCAUCCAGUGGAAGAUGGAAUAAUGGAUGUUGGCAACUUUGAAAAGUUCCUCCAGGAAAGGAUCAAAGUAAAUGGAAAGACUGGAAACUUUGGAAAUAAUGUGGCUCUAGAGAGGAAUAAGAACAAGAUUAAUCUCACUUCUGAUAUUCCUUUCUCCAAGAGGUACCUAAAAUACAUGACCAAGAAAUACCUGAAAAAGAACAACCUGAGAGAUUGGCUUCGAGUAGUUGCCAACAACAAGGAGUCUUACGAGCUCAGGUACUUCCAGAUCAACAACGAGGAUGAGGAGGAAGAUGAAGAUGAAUAGGCUGCAUUAUAUGUUGUACAUAGUUGGUACAAUAAAAUAAAGUCAGCUUUU
rnacentral:misc_RNA from 1 species